rnacentral:rRNA from 1 species
GAUGAACGCUGGCGGCGUGCCUAAUACAUGCAAGUCGAGCGAAUGGAUUAAGAGCUUGCUCUUAUGAAGUUAGCGGCAGACGGGUGAGUAACACGUGGGUAACCUGCCCAUAAGACUGGGAUAACUCCGGGAAACCGGGGCUAAUACCGGAUAACAUUUUGAACCGCAUGGUUCGAAAUUGAAAGGCGGCUUCGGCUGUCACUUAUGGAUGGACCCGCGUCGCAUUAGCUAGUUGGUGAGGUAACGGCUCACCAAGGCAACGAUGCGUAGCCGACCUGGGAGGGUGAUCGGCCACACUGGGACUGAGACACGGCCCAGACUCCUACGGGAGGCAGCAGUAGGGAAUCUUCCGCAAUGGACGAAAGUCUGACGGAGCAACGCCGCGUGAGUGAGGAAGGCUUUCGGGUCGUAAAACUCUGUUGUUAGGGAAGAACAAGUGCUAGUUGAAUAAGCUGGCACCUUGACGGUACCUAACCAGAAAGCCACGGCUAACUACGUGCCAGCAGCCGCCGUAA